rnacentral:misc_RNA from 1 species
GAGCCUCUGCCUUCUGGUUUACUUGGAACAAGACGGAAGAGAGUCACUCUUACCGUCGUGCAUACCUUAAGCGGGUCUGCCGCCUUCGUUUCUCUUUCUUCGCGAAUGACUUUGACUUGCGCUCGCGCGCCGCAUCGCACCCUUUGGGUGCUGGCGCUCCGCGAGGGCGCGGCACAAGCCGCGACGGCCGGUUGGCCUUGCGAGACUUGCGUCUCGUUGGCGAAAGCCGAUUUACGGCGCAGUCUUAGGGCUUGUAGCUCAGUUGGUUAGAGCGCGCGCUUGAUAAGCGUGAGGUCGGAGGUUCAAGUCCUCCCAGGCCCACCACUUCGCAAUCCGCAAGGAUUGUCGAUCUCCUCGACAAGUCGCCCUAAGACAGGGGUAACUUCGAAGAGGUGUUAUCAAGGGGCCGUAGCUCAGCUGGGAGAGCGCCUGCUUUGCAAGCAGGAUGUCGUCGGUUCGAUCCCGUCCGGCUCCACCAUCUCCGCGCAAUCCGCAGGAUUGUCGCUGCGCAAUCCGCGGGAUUGUCGCUGCCUCGUUCUAAAAAGAAAGAGGGGUGUCGAGUAGAGAUGGAAGCCGGUUGGCAAGUCAUUCGUUCAAAGAGUUUGCGGCGAGCUUCUUGGCUCUCCGCCUGUUCUGUAUGACAUCGUAAAGAGAAGAUUUGUUCGAACUUCAUAUCCUGAAAAGGGUGUGAUUUGUCGCGGGAGACGCUCAAUCUCCCGCAUAUGAUGGGUUUGCCUAACCGCACCCUCGAACCGAUCUCGAGAAGCUGGUCUUUUUGUGCCAAUGCCAUCAAGCCGAAUUCUGCACAGGAUUUGGCUGAAGCGACGAUCCCUUCGGGAUCGCGCAGGCGACGAUCCCUUUGGGAUCGCGUGGUGGGUAUUGGCAAUGAGAACGAUCAAGUGUCUUAAGGGCAAUUGGUGGAUGCCUUGGCAUGCACAGGCGAUGAAGGACGUGAUACGCUGCGAUAAGCUACGGGGAGGUGCGAAUACCCUUUGAUCCGUAGAUUUCCGAAUGGGGAAACCCACCUAAGGUGCUUGGAAAAUCAGAGCAGCCAGUGGUCGAAAGGCCGACUUGCUGCUGUGGUUUCCAAGGAUCUGUUAUAGGUAACUUAUCCUGAAUCCAUAGGGAUAAAGUGGCGAACGCGGGGAACUGAAACAUCUAAGUACC